GCACGAGAUAUAUAAUAUUGUAACAGCCCCGAUAUUUAUGAUUUCUGUCAGGCGGCGACUUAUAAUCUGAUAUUCUCAAACGACUGGGAUUUUGGCCAGUGUUUAUAUUUAUCUGCUAUGGGUGUGAACGAUGUGCGGUAAAAAAAAAAAUAAUAUUCUGCGAUCCGCCAUCGUGCGACAGCGCGGCGCGGCACGACGCUCAGUAUAGGAGGCAUACUCCGCUGCCGCACACAGAUGAACGCGAUGCAGACCUGGACGGUCGGUCGACCACGUGCAGAAAAUCAUUCGUCGGCACCUAUCGACGCCGCACAGCAUUGCAAGCGGAUUCACUCGUUACACAGUCGGUCCGUCAGUUCGUGAUGUUUUUGCAAAAACGAGAAAAUUGUUUUCAUCGUCAAAAUAAUUAUUCGCCCAGUACCCUGCGCCGAAACGCAGCCUCGUAAGACGCGUUUCGUCUACUCUCCAGUGGCGGCGAAAUAUUUUUUUUUUCCACCGUUGUCAAGAAUCAUUUUUCCGGCCAUCGAUUUCUGUCAAUGAAAAAUAUGAAACUAUGCGAAAAGAAAUUAUCAGCUGUUGGUCGGAGGUAAAUUAACCAUUUAAUUCUAUAAGUGUACAAAACCGAGCACAAACAACUGUGAAAAAAUACUUAUAUCAAACAAUAAUUUAACGAUAAUAAUAUAUACGUUAUUGUUUAUAUUUGUAUUGUAAUGCAUGGCAUAAAAAAUUAAUAUAAUAUAAAAGCGUGUGCUCGAGAAACGUGGGAGUUGUGAAACCACAUCCAAAACUGCUUAGAAAAAUAAAUAAAAUUAUAACUCAUUUCAAAAUCGUCAUUUAAUUCACCGUCAAAAUUAAUAAUUUAAAAAUAAAUGUCAGAGCCAGAUAAAGAAGACGGCGGCCCACAAAUUGAUGACCCCUAUGGUUUGUAUACACUUACGGUUUACAUUGUUAUUAUUUUUUUUUUCUGUUGAACAACUUUUUUAUGCAUGUUUAUAUUUUCUUAACUAUCGGAGUUAUAAAGUAAAUUAUUAUUUAAUCAAAAAACACCAAUACUAAAUUGACAUUCAAUACGCAAAUUAAAAGCGUUUGGUUAUGUAAACCCCCUUGAAAAAUAAUACAUAUGUGUGUAUACUGUAUAUCAUACUCUGUAAAAAAAUUCAGCACACGCCUUGCUAUAAUAUGUGUAUAAAAAUUAUUAUAAAAUGUAUAACUAUAGCUGGGGCGGCCAAACUUUUUUUGGUCGCGAUCUACUAAAAAUGUACUUCACCUUUGAGGAUCGACUUCCAUAAAAAAGUUUUUUGUUAUUAUUAAGUAUACAUAAUUAUUAAGAAACAAACUUUGUGCGUAGCCUAAAAAUGAAUUCUAACACGAUCGACUUUGAAAUCGUUUGCGAUCGACCGUUUGGCCGCCCCUGAACUAUCAUAUUAGUUGAAAAAAAAAGAAGACCCGGGAGAAUUUACAAUCAAACCCAUUUUAUCGCGCGUAUAUUUCAUUUGUAUUCAAAUCGUUGAAUUACUAAUCACUAGUGAUACAUACACAAAUACACAUAUAAAUAGUCACAACUACACGUAUUAAUGAAAUACAAAUUAUGUGUUUGUAGCUGGAGUACGUUCCUGAAAAAAUUAUGUAUUCUGUGUUGAUAUUUGUUUGAUAUUAUUAUACGCAUUUAACAGUAAUUAAAAUUAAAUACUUAACUUCAAAUUAUUUUAUUUUUUUAAUAAAAAUUAACAACUUUAAAACUUAUAAAAUAUUUAUCUAUAAAUUAAAGAGCUUUAAACCCGUUAUAAACGUAAAAAUGUAUUCAUAAAAAAAUAAAUUCUAACACAAGUUGAAUUCAAUGAUCCACAUUUCUAUGUGUAGAUACCCUGUGAAUGAUUAUUAAUUUACUUUUACCCCAUACAACAUAUAAUCUUAAAAGGUCACCAAUCAGUGGCGGAUCAAGAGUUUUUUUGGGAGUGAGGUCUAAAAUUGUUCAUAUUAUUAUAUAUGAUAUGUAUAAUUUUGUAAGCACAAUAUUUAGGAUUUUAUGUUGGUGACAACAAUUAAUUUCGUUAAUAUGACUCUAUAUUUUUGUCUAUCCGUAUUUGUCCUUUAUCAAAAUAUUAUUAUAAAUCACACAUAUAAUUAGCAAAAAUACAUUAAAAUAUAGAUUCGGAUAGGUAGGUACAUCAGAAUUUAUAAUUGUAUGCACAAAAUAUAAAUCAAAGAGUAUACAUUGAAAUAUAAAUGUACGUAGGUAAUCAAAAAUAAUGCAAAUAUUGUCGGUCCACUUCUUUGGGUAAAAAAUUGUACGUAUUUUAAAUAACAUUUAUUUAGUUUUUCUUCAAUUUAUAUACAAAAUACAAACAAUCUUUUCUAAUAUAAAAAUUAUAAAUUAUCUGUGUAUUGUGUAUGGUCAACAUUUUUGAGUAUAGAAUUGCACGCAAAAUACGAUUAAGAUUGAAAUUUAUAGACUUCGAGAAUUGUAUUUGUGUCAUACACUCUACAGUCAUUCAUGUCAAUAAUUAUGGACUAAAUAGUUGUGUGGAUACAAUAUUCAAAGCCAUAAUCAUAAAAUGAACUCUAGUCAAAAUAUUCGUUCGACAAAACAAGUAACAUGUUAAUAAAUAUAUAUUAAUAAAGCUAUAAAUUAAUUUUAUUUUAAUGUAAUAUUUGUGUUAUUUAAUAUUAAUUAUUUAAUGUUAAAUGUAUUUCUCAAUGAAUAUUCGUGUACUUUUUGUAUUUUUAUAAACAUUUAAAUUAAUUUUAUAUCGUAUUAGGUAAAUCGUACAUAAUAUAUAUAUAGACUUAGAAAUAAACCAAUUAAUAUGUUAAAUAGUAUAAUUUUAAAAAUCAUUUACUCAAUAUUGAUACAUUGUUAUUGAAAAAAAAAAAUAUUUUAUUUUAUGAAUAAGUGGGUAUAUAAAGUAGAUUAAAUUAUUAUUAUUAAAAUCGUUUACACUACGGAUUCAAUGGAUACGAAUUAUAAAAUUUAAUCACUAAAAUAUACAAAACAUAAUAUUCACAAGUCUCCUACAGUGGCUAGUUCAUAUUAUAUGAGAAUUAACAUUUAGUUUUAUUACACGUGUCCGUGUCAUGACGGUAAUCGUUGUCACGAGCCGUUUUUAUAUUAUAACCAUUAAGGGGGGUUUCGAAAAUUUGGAAUAGUCAAUGUUUGCAGGUUUAUUAUCACUUCACUACAUAGAUCAAUCGGUACAUUUGGCAGAGAACACGUCUGCAUUUCUAUGAAGUGCGUGUAUUAUUAGACAGAGACAGACAAAUUCGUCAUUGGAUUCUCUUGUAUAAAUAUAUUCAUAAUACAUUAUUAUGUAUUUGUGUUCAAUGUUCAUAACACGUCGUAUAAGUCGCAAUACAGGUAUUAUAUAGAUAAUUCGUAUAAUAAAACUAAUUAGCUAUCGGUAUAUUAUUAAGGGUUCACCAAUAUGUUUUUCGACACAGGUAUCUUUCUCGUGAUUGUCCACAGCUAUAUAGCCUAUAUCAAACGUCUAUAUAAUGUUUAUUUCAAUGUCACUCGACGAUUUUAUUACUUGAUAGUUAGCUAUAUUCUGUAUAUAAUAUUAUCGUCAAAGUAUAAUAAUUACGGUGCUGUGUAAUGUCCACGAGAACACGUGUUUAAGUAAUGACUGCAUCACCACAAUAUCUACUAGAUUAUAACAGUGCAACAACAACAAUAAUAAUAUUUCCUAAAGUCGUCGCGAGAUGUCCCGGACAUUAUUUUAAGACUCGUCGAAUUGCUUUUUUUUCACAACCAUAUUUUCUGCCCCCUCAAAAAAAUGGUAUCAAUAAUUUUCUUAAGAAUUAAGAACAACAAACAAAAACCAAAAAAACUGAAAUAUUUACGCAAAAUCGUGGUUUUUGACAGCGUAUUGUUUUAGAUUCUCGGCGGAGUGAGAAAUGUAUUAAUUUAAUAAAAAAACAUGUGCUUUAUUCUCUGUCUGUCAUCGACUUCUGAGACAACAAAAAUAAUUCGUUAUUCAAAUUUUGAGAUUGUUUCUGGUAGCAAAUUAAAUCUAGUCGGGUACUUUUGAGGAAGUGGAGAUUAUAAGUAAAACGUAAAACUAGUAUUCAAUAAAAUCAAUUUGGCGUAACUCAAAAAGAAAAUAACAAUAGUUACUUAACAUUUUUUCUAAAUGUUUAAAUUUACAUUUUUUAUAUAAUACAAACUUUUCAAAAUAUUUUGACUCUUCAAGCUAUUUAUAGACAUUCGAAAAUUUCAAGUUUUUUUUUCUUUAAUUGUCGAUAAAACAUUUUCGCUAAUUCGUACUAUUACUUAAAGAUGUAAUACAAUGCUCGUUAUAAGUUGUAAAACAACUGAUUAUAAAAUAGUAAAAAUUCGUAUUUACAAUAUAUUUUUAUAAGCGCUUAAAUUUUAAAUUUUGACAAAAUUCGUAAAAUCUGAAAAAUUUGCAAAUUAUUUUAUAGUUUGAUAUUUUUACAUUUUUUUUCUUUUUUAUGUCUAAGAUUUGAAAAUUUAAUACAAAACUUUUCAUAAGUUUUUCUACCUGUAUAUAAAAAACAGUUAACCAGAAAGUCAAAUUAAUUGUAUAUAUUGAAUGUUCAUUAUAAAAUAACUAAUAUUCUCCUCAAACGAUUUUCGAUAUUUUGUUAUACCUAAUUCAAGAACAAAUAAAUGUAGACUAAAUUAUUACUAAGUAUUUAUAUGGUAAUUUUUUAUACAUGGUUUUUAAAAUAUUUUGACUCCCUUUUAAGUUAUUUAGGCAUAAGAAAUUUUCGAUUUUUUUAUUUCAAUUAUUGUAAAUAAAACAUUUUUCGUAAAGUAAAAAAGCUUGAAAUUCUAAUACAAAAUUUGUAUGGCUUUGUAUGAAAAUGCUCAUGAUAUAUAUUCAACAAUGAAUUAUUUAAAUUUUCGAUAAUAAUGAUUAAUAAUAUUAUCUGUAUCUGUCACCAGGUUUUUACCUCGCAUAUAGGUAAAAAUAAUUUCACUCGUCCAAACGGACUAUUAUUUUUUUGGUCAAAAUUAUUACCUUCGCCACCCUUUUAUUCGGGCGACUAAGUGUACAGGGACAGCUAGUUCGUUAUAAGUUGUUAUUGUAGCUAUUUAAAAAUAUUAAAAUAUAUAUACACAAUUUUUUUAAUACCUAUCAAAUGUUGACGAAAUUCGUCAAAUUCAUAAAAUUUUGCAAAUUAUUUUCAUUUGGAAAAAUAUAUUAUAAUGAUUGUAUCGAUUCAAUAUAACUUUUUUUUCUAGGGCUCCCAACAUCAUUUUGACUAUAUUUUUAUCACUAGAUUAUUCUGAUAUAUAUUUACCCAAAUAACAAAAAAUAUGAAUAUUCCGUGUUUUGAAUUUUUUUUUUUUUUUCAUCAGUAGUCCAUAGAAUCAGGCACGUCGAUAGGGGGGGGAGGUAGGAUUCCUCACGGGCCCGGACGUUUUAAGGGGCCCGAAAAAAGAAGCACCGUAA